AACGAACGCUGGCGGCAUGCCUAACACAUGCAAGUCGAACGAGACCUUCGGGUCUAGUGGCGCACGGUGCGUAACGCGUGGGAAUCUGCCCUUGGGUUCGGAAUAACAGCGAGAAAUUGCUGCUAAUACCGGAUGAUGACGUAAGUCUGAAGAUUUAUCGCCCAAGGAUGAGCCCGCGUAGGAUUAGCUAGUUGGUGAGGUAAAGGCUCACCAAGGCGACGAUCCUUAGCUGGUCUGAGAGGAUGAUCAGCCACACUGGGACUGAGACACGGCCCAGACUCCUACGGGAGGCAGCAGUGGGGAAUAUUGGACAAUGGGCGAAAGCCUGAUCCAGCAAUGCCGCGUGAGUGAUGAAGGCCUUAGGGUUGUAAAGCUCUUUUACCCGGGAUGAUAAUGACAGUACCGGGAGAAUAAGACUCCGGCUAACUCCGUGCCAGCAGCCGCGGUAAU
rnacentral:rRNA from 1 species